AUUGAACGCUGGAGGCAGGCCUAACACAUGAAAGUCGAACGAGUGGCGGACGGGUGAGUAAUGUCUGGGAAACUGCCUGAUGGAGGGGGAUAACUACUGGAAACGGUAGCUAAUACCGCAUACAAUCAGAUGUGCCCCUAUGGGAUUAGCGUGUUGGUGGGGUAACGGCUCACCAAGGCGACGAUCCCUAGCUGGUCUGAGAGGAUGACCAGCCACACGUGAACUGAUACACGGUCCAGACUCCUACGGGAGGCAGCAGUUGGGAAUAUGGCACAAUGGGCGCAAGCCGGAUGCAGCCAUGCCGCGUGGAUGAAGAAGGCCUUCGGGUUGGAAAGUACUUUCAGCGGGGAGGCGUUACCCGCAGAAGAAGCACCGGCUAACUCCGUGCCAGCAGCCGCGGUAAUUC
rnacentral:rRNA from 1 species